UAAGGCAGUGGUAGCGCUGAAGAAUAUUCGUGCAAUUGUCGUUAUUCAUUAUAAAAGGGCGGGUUUUAAAGGAUAUUUUAAAAUUUAAAACAAGCUUUUAAGAGCAGAUGGCGGAUGCCUUGCCAAAGAGAGGCGAUGAAGGACGUACUAGACUGCGAUAAGCUAUGCGGAGCUGUCAAGGAGCUUUGAUGCGUAGAUGUCCGAAUGGGGCAACCCAACUAAUAGAGAUAUUGGUUACUCUAAUUUAGAGAGCGAACCUAGUGAAGUGAAACAUCUCAGUAACUAGAGGAAAAGAAAUCAACGAGAUUCCCUAAGUAGUGGCGAGCGAACGGGGAAAAGGGCAAACCGAGUGCUUGCAUUCGGGGUUGAGGACUGCAACAUCCAAGAAAACGCUUUAGCAGAGUUACCUGGAAAGGUAAGCCAUAGAAAGUGAUAGCCUUGUAUGCGACAAGGCGUUUUUAGGUAGCAGGAUCCAGAGUAGGCCAGGACACGAGAAAUCCAGGUUGAAGCCGGGGAGACCACUCUCCAACCCUAAAUACUACUCUUUGAGCGAUAGCGAACAAGUACCGUGAGGGAAAGGUGAAAAGAACCGCAGUGAGCGGAGUGAAAUAGAACCUGAAACCAUCUGCUUACAAUCAUUCAGAGCCCUAUGAUUUAUCAGGGUGAUGGACUGCCUUUUGCAUAAUGAUCCUGCGAGUUGUGGUAUCUGGCAAGGUUAAGCGAAUGCGAAGCCGUAGCGAAAGCGAGUCUUAAUAGGGCGGUUAAGUCAGAUGCUGCAGACCCGAAGCUAAGUGAUCUAUCCAUGGCCAAGUUGAAACGCGUGUAAUAGCGCGUGGAGGACUGAACUCGUACCCAUUGAAACGGGUUGGGAUGAGCUGUGGAUAGGGGUGAAAGGCCAAACAAACUUAGUGAUAGCUGGUUCUCUUCGAAAUAUAUUUAGGUAUAGCCUCAAGUGAUAAUAAAAGGGGGUAGAGCCCUGAUUGGGCUAGGGCUGCUCGCCGCGGUACCAAACCCUAUCAAACUUCGAAUACCUUUUAUCGUAUCUUGGGAGUCAGGCGGUGGGUGAUAAAAUCAAUCGUCAAAAGGGGAACAACCCAGACUACCAAAUAAGGUCCCUAAGUUCUAUUCUGAGUGGAAAAAGAUGUGUGGCUACUCAAACAACCAGGAGGUUGGCUUAGAAGCAGCCAUCCUUUAAAGAAAGCGUAACAGCUCACUGGUCUAGUGGUCAUGCGCUGAAAAUAUAACGGGGCUAAGAUAGACACCGAAUUUGUAGAUUGUGUUAAACACAGUGGUAGAAGAGCGUUCAUACCAGCGUUGAAGGUAUACCGGUAAGGAGUGCUGGAGCGGUAUGAAGUGAGCAUGCAGGAAUGAGUAACGAUAAGAUAUAUGAGAAUUGUAUCCGCCGUAAAUCUAAGGUUUCCUACGCGAUGGUCGUCAUCGUAGGGUUAGUCGGGUCCUAAGCCGAGUCCGAAAGGGGUAGGUGAUGGCAAAUUGGUUAAUAUUCCAAUACCGACUAUGGAGCGUGAUGGGGGGACGCAUAGGGUUAAGCGAGCUAGCUGAUGGAAUAGCUAGUCUAAGGGCGUAGAUUGGAGGGAAGGCAAAUCCACCUCUGUAUUUGAAACCCAAACAGGCUCUUUGAGUCCUUUUAGGACAAAGGGAGAAUCGCUGAUACCGUCGUGCCAAGAAAAGCCUCUAAGCAUAUCCAUAGUCGUCCGUACCGCAAACCGACACAGGUAGAUGAGAUGAGUAUUCUAAGGCGCGUGAAAGAACUCUGGUUAAGGAACUCUGCAAACUAGCACCGUAAGUUCGCGAUAAGGUGUGCCGCAGCAAUGCGGUCUCAGCAAAGAGUCCCUCCCGACUGUUUACCAAAAACACAGCACUUUGCCAACUCGUAAGAGGAAGUAUAAGGUGUGACGCCUGCCCGGUGCUCGAAGGUUAAGAGGAUGCGUCAGUCGCAAGAUGAAGCGUUGAAUUGAAGCCCGAGUAAACGGCGGCCGUAACUAUAACGGUCCUAAGGUAGCGAAAUUCCUUGUCGGUUAAAUACCGACCUGCAUGAAUGGCGUAACGAGAUGGGAGCUGUCUCAACCAGAGAUUCAGUGAAAUUGUAGUGGAGGUGAAAAUUCCUCCUACCCGCGGCAAGACGGAAAGACCCCGUGGACCUUUACUACAACUUAGCACUGCUAACGGGAAUAUCAUGCGCAGGAUAGGUGGGAGGCUUUGAAGUAAGGGCUUUGGCUCUUAUGGAGC
rnacentral:rRNA from 1 species